rnacentral:misc_RNA from 1 species
GAAAAAGGAAACAAGAAGAAGAAGAAUCUGGAGCAGUUGUCGAAUUCGUACAAGUUAAAGUAGCUCAAAUCCAAUUUGUGAUUCUGGGUGUUUCUCAAUUCAUCAUAUGGCUGCCAAUUUCUGGAUUUCUUCUCAGUACAAAGAACUUUUGGACCAAGAAGAGGUUGAUGUGGUGCAUCAGUUGGAUAAAGAGAGAGGCAUCACUCUCGAUGAUUUCAAGCUCAUCAAGUUGCAUAUGUCCAAUUAUGUUGCAAGAUUGGCUCAAAAUGUGAAAGUGAGACAAAGGGUUGUUGCUACCGCAAUUACAUACAUGAGACGCGUAUAUGUCAGGAGAAGUAUGACCGAGUAUGAUCCUCGUCUGGUUGCUCCAACUUGCUUGUAUUUGGCAUCAAAAGCAGAAGAAAGCACUGUGCAGGCCCGACUUCUUGUAUUUUACAUCAAGAAAUUAUAUUCGGAUGAGAAGUAUAAAUAUGAAAUAAAAGACAUACUAGACAUGGAGAUGAAAGUUCUGGAAGCCCUAAACUAUUACUUAGUCGUAUAUCAUCCAUAUCGUUCAUUAGCACAGUUCCUUCAGGAUGCCGGCAUGAAUGAUGCAACUCAAUUGACUUGGGGACUUAUAAAUGACACCUAUAAGAUGGACCUAAUUCUCAUUCAUCCACCACAUUUGAUUACUUUAGCUUGCAUAUAUAUUGCAAGUGUGCUGAAAGAUAAAGAAACUACUGCGUGGUUUGAGGAGCUUCGAGUUGAUAUGAAUGUGGUAUGUGAAAAA